GACGAACGCUGGCGGCGUGCUUAACACAUGCAAGUCGAACGGAAAGGCCCUGCUUUUGUGGGGUGCUCGAGUGGCGAACGGGUGAGUAACACGUGAGUAACCUGCCCUUGACUUUGGGAUAACUUCAGGAAACUGGGGCUAAUACCGGAUAGGAGCUCCUGCUGCAUGGUGGGGGUUGGAAAGUUUCGGCGGUUGGGGAUGGACUCGCGGCUUAUCAGCUUGUUGGUGGGGUAGUGGCUUACCAAGGCUUUGACGGGUAGCCGGCCUGAGAGGGUGACCGGCCACAAUGGGACUGAGAUACGGACCAGACUCCUACGGGAGGCAGCAGUCGGGAAUAUUGCACAGUGGGCGGAAGCCUGAUGCAGCAACGCCGCGUGCGGGAUGACGGCCUUCGGGUUGAGAACCGCUUUCGACUGUGACGAAGCGUGAGUGACGGUAAUGAGUAAAGAAGCACCGGCUAACUACGUG
rnacentral:rRNA from 1 species